GCUGUAAUCUGCAACUUUCAUUUCAAAAUUAUUUCAACGUAGAUCCAAAACCAAUUAGACGAAUUAACAAAUAUUCAAAUUUUUUCACACGAUAUACCGUACUAUUGGGUUGGCAACUAAGUGAUUGCGAAUUUUGUCAACACCUAUCUAAUGAAAAAAUCCGCAACUACUUAGUUGCCAAUAUAAACCUCUUAAUAAUCUUAACAACAAUCUUGAAAUAUCAAAAAUUCAACAAAAUAAAUAUAUAGCUACACCAUUAUCCAAUAAUAUCAAGUCAGUUAAGAUUAGCUAGACUCACAUAAACUACUAGAAAUAAUCUAUUAGAACAUCCUUGAUUAAAUGCUACUGUUUGCACAAGAACGUUAAUCAGAUUCAGCAUCGUUAAAAAAAAUUACUUCUAUCGAUUCUAUCGAGACGAUUAAUUUCCCUCGCCUUGACAUCGAUAUUUCAUCGAAUCUCUAUCAGGAAUCAAGCUCUAUCGAUUAUACCGCUCGUUGGAAAAAGCAAGAUAUAAAUUCAGCUGUUUCGAUCGACGUCGAAGUAUUAACUUUUAUUAUCGGUGACGUAUUCUUUAUUUGGGGACAGUCAUUUCUUCUUGUUUAUGUUUCAUUAUCGUUUAAACGUUACCGAUAUAAAAAUUAUCCGGUGUUACACGUAAUAGCGGCAAUAAAAUCCGAUAUUCCAGGUAUUGCAAGCGAUACUCGCCAAACAAUCGUUCGCUGACACGCCGAAUAAGCCAUUCUUCAUUGCAUAAUACGCUCCUUGUCGCUGAGAAUGAGCGCCGAUGCACUUCUACAGCUGGUUGACGGAUUUCGAAACCCGGAUAAAAAUUCUUCAAUGACUCAUUGAUUCAAGCUAAUCGCGUAUUAAACCACGAUUGACCGUGCUCCUUACUUCUUUCAUUAAGUAAGAAACGUUAAACCUCUAUAACGAUAUAUAACUUGCAAGUUACGUAAUCACGUACCUACGUAUUUUAAAUCUCUUGAUAUACGUAGUUACAAUAGUGACGUGCCAUUAUCUUUUAAAACAAUUGGGCUCGUAACAAAUACAGUAGUUGUCAAAUUUUUCCAUACUUUAAAUAAUAAUACCUUGACUUAUUAUUGAAUGAAAAUGAAACAGUUUUAUAAAAGCUUUGGUCACGAGGUUGCAAUUUCAUGGUUUAAUUGGGCAUGAUUUUUCUGCAUAUAAUUACCGCUACGCUUAUAGGAAUUAUGUAAGAUGAUGAAUAUUUUGUUUAAAAAUAUUGAAGAUGAAAGAAGCUAGAGAAUCAUUUAGCUUGCCCGAAGAAAGGGUCGUUUUUGUCCUAAGCUAUGAUUGAAUAUGAAAAGUAUGUACACGUGAUAGAGGUUCGUUGCGUUGAAAUGAACCAAGUAAAACAGAAAAGAAAUCUGUUUUUUAAUUCAUAACAUCACGGUCCAUGCUUCGCAAAACAUCGAACUGUGUCCAUCUAACUGCACUCAGUGGUACGUAGAAAGUGCAUAAAUAUGUAUGUCAAUUCCGCUUACAAAACUGCUGAUCCUUGACCAACACGGUUCUAUCGGUAAAAGCGGAGUUCCCUUGAAAAAUGCAGCUUUUCCUAAUUGGUACAACCUUACGGAGAACGUGCAAACCAACUGCAAAUACUCUUACGAACACAAAAGAGAAUCGCAUGACGGAUCAGUCCGACAUCUCAAGGAGACAACUUUCCGAUUAGUCCCUCUCCGUCGUCGACGUAAUCUGCUCAAUCUGCGGUGGGCAACGUGCGGUCUUAUCAUCGUUACGCCACACAGUUCUCCGUGCUAAGGAAAAUUGUACGUGAAUGACACGAUGGAUUUCGAGGAAAAAGCAAAUACGCUACUAAUGACUCGACUAGAUAUACUCGUUGAUCGAGAAAUCAUAAUUUCACUUGACCGAUAAUACGAUUAUUAAGCGUAUGGAUUUUCUUCGCCAUAGUUUUCUGCAUUCGUUACCUGCUACUAUAUGGUAUGCUCGUUUCCUUGGAGAGAUAACAAAG